rnacentral:rRNA from 1 species
AUUGAACGCUGGCGGCAUGCCUUACACAUGCAAGUCGAACGGCAGCAUGGAGGAGCUUGCUCCUCUGAUGGCGAGUGGCGAACGGGUGAGUAAAGCAUCGGAACGUACCGUGUAGUGGGGGAUAACGUAGCGAAAGUUACGCUAAUACCGCAUACGCACUGAGGUGGAAAGCAGGGGAUCGCAAGACCUUGCGCUAUACGAGCGGCCGAUGUCAGAUUAGCUAGUUGGUAGGGUAAAGGCCUACCAAGGCGACGAUCUGUAGCGGGUCUGAGAGGAUGAUCCGCCACACUGGGACUGAGACACGGCCCAGACUCCUACGGGAGGCAGCAGUGGGGGAAUUUUGGACAAUGGGGGAAACCCUGAUCCAGCCAUGCCGCGUGAGUGAAGAAGGCCUUCGGGUUGUAAAGGCUCUUUUGUCUAGGGAGAACAGCAGCUCUAACACAGUCUGCGAAUGACGGUACCUGAAGAAUAAG